CGGCUGCCGACAAUGAGUGAGAUAACAGUUCCGGUUGUGAAGAGAAGUCCUAUAAGUUUCUACCUUCGCCUUCCACAGCAAAGGCACACUCUCUCAGCACUUCGCUCUCAGCACUUCUUCAUCUCUGAAAAUGCAUUCCCAAAGAAUCCUCCUAAGUUACUCUGUGUUCCUAAUUCCUUGGGAUACUCCUGCGAAGAACCCAUUUCAAAGCAAAAGUAUUUCAUAUCAUAAAGGUUGAAAGCAAGAGUAUCUCAUAUCAUGCUUUCUCCUUCCUUCUCCUUGUUCCUGAUUGCUUAC
rnacentral:lncRNA from 1 species